ensembl:lncRNA
CUCUAAUAUCUAUCCCUCCUGACACUCUCUUAAGAAUUCAAAGAAGUCUGAAGUGACCAAUCUGUUCCAUUUGCAGAAUAAGUCAUAUUUUGAAAUUAAAAGAAUACUUCAUGUGACCAAAGAUUUUUGUUUCUAGGGAAAGUUAAGCUGGAAAAGGAUUAGCCUUUCAAACAAAGCAGUAUUCUGUGCCUCAUAAACUCCUUCAUGUCCGCACCAUCAUUGAUAAAUGGAAAUCGAAUGUAUUUUCAAGUCUUCCAUUUUUGGUAAGUUGCAUAGUUGUUACAAUUUCCUUAGAAAACAAGACACUUGUCCUCUAUAAAGCACAGAACAUCUUUUACCCUCUUGAUAUUUAGACAAAAUGCAAUGAGAUUAUUCAACUACAUUAGGAGAAAAGUAACCUCCCAAGUUUUCUGCAUUAAAUAAUCAGGAGUUUCCAGCUAAAUCUGACUGUUACAUUCUAUGUAAAUUCUGAGAAAUCCUACAUUCCAAACACAUUAUUUUCUAGUGUGUUUGUUUUCUAGAUAGAUGGAAUUUGUAUGUGCUGGAACAUCUGUUGGAAGUACAAAAAUUUCACAGCUCUGAAUGCCUCCAAGACAGAGAAAACUGCGUAUGACAAGAACCCUAACUUAGGGGAUCAGACAACAAAUUAAGUGAAGUAAUACUUGUGUUGGCCUAUUUCUCAGUUUGUAAUAGGAGAAAGAACGAUUUUAUUUCACUUAAAACCACACUUAAAGUAGCUUGGAAAAAGAUAAAGAGAGCAGUUUUGUAUUUUUGGAUUUGAGCUAGCCUCUGAUUAGAGCAUAUAUAUUAAAAAUUCCAAAGCUACAAAAGUACAUUAUAAAAUAUAUUAAAAAAAAGAAAAACAAAUCAAGACCUUCAUCCUCCGCUGAGGAAUCUAGUUGCCCACACAUUUUACAAAGGGUCAAAAAUUCCAAAUGUUGUUAAGUCUAGAAUACCACAGAUAUUAUGUUCAAUCUAGUAUCAUUCUCAUCAGCUCCUUUCUUCAUAACUCACUCUUCUGAUGGGUUGAAGAGAACACUGUGCAUGUAGUGUUAAUGAACAACAACAUUAAUGAUUGGAAGUUAAAGAGCAGACCACCACCAUAUGAUUUGGCCAAAACUCAGUACAUCUCAAAAUGAUCAUAGGAAGCCAUGCCCUACUCUAGAGAUAACACAUUAUGAUUACAUCUGGGACAAUGUUCAAUAUUGUUUCAGAGUCAGGAAACUACACAGACUGAAUCAAAUUUGUGUGUACGUUCCCUGGGGUCAAUGACAAAUGCUUGUUUCCAUCAAUAACAGUCUGC